rnacentral:rRNA from 1 species
GGAGGGUGCGAGCGUUGUCCGGAAUCACUGGGCGUAAAGGGCGCGUAGGCGGUGGCCUAAGCGCGCGGUGAAAGCCUGGGGCUCAACCCCGGGUCGGCCGUGCGGACUGGGCGACUCGAGCACCGUAGGGGCAGGCGGAAUUCCGGGUGUAGCGGUGGAAUGCGUAGAGAUCCGGAAGAACACCGGCGGCGAAGGCGGCCUGCUGGGCGGUGGCUGACGCUGAGGCGCGACAGCGUGGGGAGCAAACAGGAUUAGAUACCCUGGUAGUCCACGCCGUAAACGAUGGGCACUAGGUGCCUGGGGGAGCGACCCCCCGGGUGCCGGCGCUAACGCAUUAAGUGCCCCGCCUGGGGAGUACGGCCGCAAGGCUGAA